rnacentral:rRNA from 1 species
AGUGAACGCUGGCGGUAGGCCUAACACAUGCAAGUCGAACGGCAGCACAGUAAGAGCUUGCUCUUACGGGUGGCGAGUGGCGGACGGGUGAGGAAUACAUCGGACUCUACUUUUUCGUGGGGGAUAACGUAGGGAAACUUACUCUAAUACCGCAUACGACCUACGGUUGAAAGCAGGGGAUCUUCGGACCUUGCGCGAUUGAAUGAGCCGAUGUCGGAUUAGCUAGUUGGCGGGGUAAAGGCCCACCAAGGCGACGAUCCGUAGCUGGUCUGAGAGGAUGAUCAGCCACACUGGAACUGAGACACGGUCCAGACUCCUACGGGAGGCAGCAGUGGGGAAUAUUGGACAAUGGGCGCAAGCCUGAUCCAGCCAUACCGCGUGGGUGAAGAAGGCCUUCGGGUUGUAAAGCCCUUUUGUUGGGAAAGAAAAGCAGCAGGUUAAUACCACGCUGUUCUGACGGUACCCAAAGAAUAAGCACCGGCUAACUUCGUG